UAGGGAAUCUUCGGCAAUGGACGAAAGUCUGACCGAGCAACGCCGCGUGAGUGAAGAAGGUUUUCGGAUCGUAAAACUCUGUUGUUAGAGAAGAACGUUGCAUAGAGUGGAAAAUUAUGCAAGUGACGGUAUCUAACCAGAAAGGGACGGCUAACUACGUGCCAGCAGCCGCGGUAAUACGUAGGUCCCGAGCGUUGUCCGGAUUUAUUGGGCGUAAAGCGAGCGCAGGUGGUUUAAUAAGUCUGAUGUAAAAGGCAGUGGCUCAACCAUUGUGUGCAUUGGAAACUGUUAGACUUGAGUGCAGUAGAGGAGAGUGGAAUUCCAUGUGUAGCGGUGAAAUGCGUAGAUAUAUGGAGGAACACCGGUGGCGAAAGCGGCUCUCUGGACUGUCACUGACACUGAGGCUCGAAAGCGUGGGUAGCAAACAGGAUUAGAUACCCUGGUAGUCCACGCCGUAAACGAUGAGUGCUAGU
rnacentral:rRNA from 1 species